rnacentral:misc_RNA from 13 species
AUCGCUUCUCGGACUUUUAGCUAAAAUCAAAGUGUAGUAUCUGUUCUUAUCAGCUCAAUUUCUGGUUCGACUUACAACUGUUCUGAAAUGCUUAAAACGUUAAGUCCUCCGAUUAAAAAUAAGUUUAGGAAUUGUU